CAGCACUUCAAGUGGUCAGGAUGAUUAUUGGGCCUAAAGCAUCCGUAGCCUGCUUUGUUAGUUUUCGGUUAAAUCCAUACGCUCAACGUAUGGGCUGCCGGGAAUACUGCAAAGCUAGGGAGUGGGAGAGGUAGACGGUACUCGGUAGGAAGGGGUAAAAUCCUUUGAUCUAUUGAUGACCACCUGUGGCGAAGGCGGUCUACCAGAACACGUCCGACGGUGAGGGAUGAAAGCUGGGGGAGCAAACCGGAUUAGAUACCCGAGUAGUCC
rnacentral:rRNA from 1 species